GCCUGGGUGGCUCAGUGGUUGAGCAUCUGCCUUUGACACAGGGCAUGAUCCUGGAGACCUGGGAUCGAGUCCCACGUCGGGCU
rnacentral:tRNA from 1 species